rnacentral:misc_RNA from 1 species
CUUUCUCCACAAACUAUUUUUUAAGGGACCGUGUCUUCGUAUGUGGUUUUUCUGCUCGUCUAAAAAGUCAAAAUUUCUGAUGGAUUUAUUUUACCAUCCAUUGUUUCACGUUUUCCAUUUCAUGAUUUCAUGCGUGCUAAGUAAAAGAAAAAAAUUACUCAACUACAAGUGCUUAUAGUUCAUGGUUUCUCGAUGGUGCAAGUGUCACUCAAGACAUCUUCCUUCACAAUUCCCUACUCACAACUAAGUGCCUUUGAUCCAGGACCAUGAGACGUCUUUUAGUUUAGCAAGUACAAAUUGUACAACUUAUUCCUUUUUUCUAAUAAUUUAAAAUCAUUCUUUAUGGAUGUUUUUGAAUAUUUAUAUCAACUAGAAAUUAAUCUGUAAAAUUUUUAGAAAAUAUUUUAAUGCAUUUGACAUGACCUCUAAAUAGUUUGAAACGGUUGA